UGAUGGCUUAUAAGAGUUGCCCAGAAUUUUUUAUAGAUGUCCUUGAUGUCUAAUAACUAGGAGGAUCCGGAUAGAGCUAAAGGAGAACAUGUUAGCAGUUUCAGGUACAUUGAAGUGAUUCCACAAAAUACCUGAUUCUGUAUGCUGUACUGAGUCCAGAGAAAGGAAGAAACUCAAAGGGAGACAACGAUUUCCAAAUCAAGAUGGCAGUUCCACUGCUGAGAGGUUCAGAAAGUGAACUCUAGUGCAUGAUUGCUGAGUAUGCCCUU
rnacentral:lncRNA from 1 species